rnacentral:rRNA from 1 species
UACCAGCACCCCGAGUGGUCGGGACGAUUAUUGGGCCUAAAGCAUCCGUAGCCGGUUCUACAAGUCUUCCGUUAAAUCCACCUGCUCAACAGAUGGGCUGCGGAGGAUACUAUAGAGCUAGGAGGCGGGAGAGGCAAGCGGUACUUAGUGGGUAGGGGUAAAAUCCGUUGAUCCAUUGAAGACCACCAGUGGCGAAGGCGGCUUGCCAGAACGCGCUCGACGGUGAGGGAUGAAAGCUGGGGGAGCAAACCGG